rnacentral:rRNA from 1 species
GCACGAAGUUAGCCGGUGCUUAUUCUUUCGGUACCGUCAUCCGUACGAAGUAUUAAUCCGCACGAUUUCUUCCCGAACAAAAGUGCUUUACAACCCGAAGGCCUUCUUCACACACGCGGCAUGGCUGGAUCAGGCUUGCGCCCAUUGUCCAAUAUUCCCCACUGCUGCCUCCCGUAGGAGUCUGGGCCGUGUCUCAGUCCCAGUGUGGCUGAUCAUCCUCUCAGACCAGCUACGGAUCGUCGCCUUGGUGGGCCUUUACCCCACCAACUAGCUAAUCCGGCAUCGGCUCAUCCAAUCGCGUGAGGCCUUGCGGUCCCCCACUUUCACCUCUCGGUCGUAUGCGGUAUUAGCGUAAGUUUCCCUACGUUAUCCCCCACGACAGGGUAGAUUCCGAUGCAUUCCUCACCCGUCCGCCGCUCGCCGCCAGGUUGCCCCGCGCUGCCGCUCGACUUGCAUGUGUUAGGCCUGCCGCCAGCGUUCGUU